rnacentral:misc_RNA from 1 species
CAUUCUAACGCCAUUACGGAGGUUUUCUCUCAUAGCCAUCAUCAUAGCCUUUCGUUUUGUGUUGUCGACUUCGCUUCCGCCCUUGCCCUCUUGUCUUAUCUCUUCGUUUUCUUUUUUUUUUGGUGCCCUGCGGUGCUGCUCAUCUGCCAUCAUCACCGGUGGUCUUGGGUGCCUGCCUUGCUGCAUCCCUUACACAGGUGCACGGCUGAGACACCGCCAAGCAAAGACAACAACAGGAGCGCCCUCACGAGAGCAACGAAAACGGCAGCAGUCUGGGAGACACUCACGCCAGACAUCGCCAUCCGCGCCCCCGCUCUUUGCUUGCGCUUGCCGUUGCCGUGUUCUCUCCCGCCCUCCCCCUUUCGCUGUCGCUCGUACCACCGCACACUACAUCGAAAGAGCACGCCGAGAAGGGUUCGCCAUCAUGAUCGGCGAGCUACUCCUUCUCCUGGCCGCCGGCCUGGCACUGUACGGCUGGUACUUCUGCAAGUCCUUCAACACGACCCGCCCCACCGAUCCGCCGGUCGUUCACGGAACGACGCCUUUUGUGGGUCACAUCAUCCAGUUCGGCAAGGAUCCGCUGGGCUUCAUGCUGAAGGCGAAGAAGAAGUACGGCGGCAUAUUCACCAUGAACAUCUGCGGCAACCGCAUCACCGUCGUUGGCGACGUUCACCAGCACAGCAAGUUCUUCACCCCGCGUAACGAGAUUCUCUCCCCGCGUGAGGUCUACAGCUUCAUGGUGCCUGUCUUUGGCGAGGGCGUCGCCUACGCCGCGCCGUACCCGCGCAUGCGCGAGCAGCUCAACUUCCUGGCCGAGGAGCUGACUGUGGCCAAGUUCCAGAACUUCGCACCGUCGAUCCAGCACGAGGUGCGCAAGUUUAUGAAGGCGAACUGGAACAAGGACGAAGGCGAGAUCAACAUCCUCGACGACUGCAGCGCCAUGAUCAUCAACACCGCUUGCCAGUGCCUCUUCGGCGAAGACCUGCGCAAGCGCCUGGACGCGCGCCAGUUCGCACAGCUGCUGGCCAAGAUGGAGAGCUGCCUCAUCCCCGCCGCUGUCUUCCUGCCGUGGAUCCUGAAGCUGCCGCUGCCGCAGUCCUACCGCUGCCGCGACGCCCGCGCUGAGCUGCAGGAUAUCCUCAGCGAGAUCAUCAUUGCUCGCGAGAAGGAGGAGGCUCAGAAGGACACCAACACGUCGGACCUGCUCGCCGGUCUGCUCGGCGCCGUGUACCGCGAUGGCACCCGCAUGUCUCAGCACGAGGUGUGCGGAAUGAUCGUUGCCGCCAUGUUUGCUGGCCAGCACACCUCCACUAUCACCACCACCUGGUCCCUGCUGCAUCUGAUGGAUCCACGCAACAAGAGGCACCUCGCGAAGCUGCACCAGGAGAUUGACGAGUUCCCCGCGCAGUUGAACUACGACAACGUCAUGGAGGAGAUGCCGUUCGCGGAGCAGUGCGCGCGCGAGUCGAUCCGCCGCGACCCGCCGCUCGUAAUGCUCAUGCGCAAGGUAUUGAAGCCAGUCCAGGUGGGCAAGUACGUCGUGCCGGAGGGUGACAUCAUCGCCUGCUCGCCGCUCCUCUCGCACCAGGAUGAGGAAGCGUUCCCAAAUCCGCGUGAGUGGAACCCGGAGCGCAACAUGAAGCUCGUCGACGGCGCCUUCUGCGGCUUCGGUGCUGGCGUGCACAAGUGCAUCGGCGAGAAGUUUGGCCUACUUCAGGUCAAGACGGUGCUGGCAACGGUCUUGCGCGACUACGACUUUGAGCUCCUCGGCCCACUGCCGGAGCCGAACUACCACACCAUGGUGGUGGGCCCGACGGCCAGCCAGUGCCGCGUAAAGUACAUCAAGAAGAAGAAGGCGGCUGCUUAGAGCGAGGACGCGGGUCGGAAACGCAAGCCGAUGAAAACCCGAGAGAGACGGAGACGGCGCUGAGAGCACGUGCGUGUGUGUCGGUGUGAUCGCCGUUUGUUGUUGUCGCUUCUCUGUGGGGAGGGAGGGGGGGGCUCAACAGCCAGAACAGCGGCCAAGCAUCCAUGGCGAUGUCGUUCUGUGAUACGCGUGCACAAGUGCGCGCCCGCUUUUUUUUUUCGUGUCUGCACCGCUGUGAGCCGAGUCGAGUUGCCGGCACCACACACACACACACACACCUAGAGGGAGAAUGUGGCAAGGCAAGAAGCAAGCAGGUGAGGUUUACGCGGUGACCUGGCACAGUUCACGCACGCAGAGAGGCACCCGAAGCCGAUGGACAUGUGAGCCGCACGAUGCACAUGUAUAUACAUACGUAUCUCCAUGGAGCGAGCGAGCGAAACGGAUGCGGCGGUGCUGCGGUGGAAGGCAAGACGAAGAGAUGUGAAAAAAAUGCAGGGAGGAAAAGCACAACCACAGACGACGCCUGUGCAGAGAGCGCCUGAGCUUGAGGAAAGCGAUGCGAAUGCGCAUAAGUAUACCUGUAUGGACAUGUGUGUCUGCGGCAUGCCUGCAUGCACAUCAGCUGCAGCACCACUGGAGAGAGGACAAGAGUAACGGACACACACACACACACACAAACACACACACACACACGACGACACACGCACGAGCGGGCACGCGAGGAGGCGAGCCACCGAAAAAAAAAAUAGCAGCAGCUCCAAAAGAGGCGGAGGAAACUGAGCACUGACCCGUAACACCGCCCUCCCACUUUGCGGCGGACUGCGACGUCGUUGGAGGGUGAAAGGUGGUAGUGGUGGUGGUGGGUGAGAGCGCCGCGCCGCGAGGGAGAUGCCAACGAGUGAGCAAGGGUGAGGGAGACGAAUCGACGCGUAACGUUGGCAGCCUGCAUACAUGCACACGAAAACUGACUGUUACCGCACCGUCGCCAAUAUAUGACGAGCACACGCGCAGAGCGCACUCAUUCCCACCUAAUCACCGUGCCACGCAGAGAGCUACACAUCCACAGGCGGGGGGGGUGCAUUUUGUUUUCUUCUUUUCGCCGUUGUCAGCGGUGAGGACUCCUCUGCUGCUGUUGCGCCCUUCAGGUACAGGAGUAGCGAAGAGCGAGACAAGAGGUUGAUGGUGAGAAGGUGCUGUUCAUAGCCCCUCUGGCUGCCUUCUCUUUUCUCGUUCUUUGUGACCUCUCCACCGUGUAUCGCCAACGAGCUCCUCACGCACGCCAAGCGCGUUCGUGCGCACCCUGUAAGUCUUAGUGAUACGUGUGGCAUGCAGUUUGCCUUGCGCGCUCCCGCUAAUGCGCGCGUGCACUCUUCUUCUUGCAACCCCGCUCCCCCCGCCCAUAUUCUUCUUUGCCGUUCCUCUGCAAACCCGGUAGACACGGAACGUUUUUGCUCUGGUCCCUUAGGCUUACCUCAGACCUUAUCGGAAGAUCGUUGCAUGCAUGUAUGCAUGCAUGUGUGCGACAGCGCAAUAUGCGAUGGCUUCAUCGCUGCCUUGCGGGUACCUCUCGCUGUUAUAUAUAUUUAUUUCACUUGCCUUCCUUCCCCUUGCCUAUGGACGAAGCUUGACCGGCAUCUGCGCCCCGCCCAUCCUUCAACUCUCCUACUGUCUCUCACUCCAUGUCUUUUGCUCUCUCCGUGCGUGUGUGUUGGGAUGUUGCAUCGGCGGCGCAUUUUCAACCCCCCCUUCCCCUUCGUCUCUCUCGCUCUAUCCGUCUGCGGAGUGCUCGAGCCUGUCUUGCCCUUCGCCUGGCAAUGCGUUUGCGCGCGUGAGCGUGAGUGUCCCUCCGGCUCUUCUCCUAUUCUGUCCUCUCCUCCUCUCUCUGCAGGUGCGUUUCUUUCUUGGUGUGCUGUCGCGCACGUCUUUGGUCUCCGUCUCUCUGUUGCGAUGAUGUCCUUGACGCUGUUGUGGAUGAUGUCGAUGAUCCUUCUCGUUGUUUUAGCGGCGAACGCCCUUCCCCCACCCUCCCCGGCACAAAAAGAAAAACGAAGGGAAGAGCAGACAAAUGUGUGCGAGACGACGAAAACGAGCAGUGAUGCGGCAGCGGUCAAGUACGGCGUACGCCAGUCGUUGCGGAACAGAGAGUCGGGGGGCGCGCGAAGGCGAAGGGGGUCCCGCACGCGUUGUCUUGCGCUCUUUCAUUUUCCAUCGCUUCCUUCGCUCUCUCUCUCUAUCCUCUCCUGCCUGCGCCUGCUCUCGUCUUUCGCGCGGCGGGGAUGCGGUGCAGGAACGCCGGCUUAAAGAAACGGCGGCAGCAACACGUGCCACAUCCAGUUAUGUUAGGCGCUGCGCUUCACGGUCAGAGCUCCUGUGCACCGUGCGGCUCCCGUCGUUGAAAGAUUCGGUCUAUGUUUUCUUUCUCUUUUUUGGAAAAGGAUAGAUGCGCACAGAGAAAGAGGUCAACCGCGAGUGCGCUCUCGCAGCCGGCCUCCACGUCGCUAGAGCGUGCCGUCAUCUUCUCAUUAUGUCCUCACCCGCUGCGCUACACUGUGUGGCGCAUGCGUUUACCCCUCUAGCCGUGGAGGCCCCCUCUAUCAGGGUUACGCAGCUGUGCGGCGCCUCGCUGUUUUGUCUGAUAACCGAAAACAUUCUCCACCUCUUUUCUCUCGUCCUUUCUUUCCUCUCACGCGUGCUGUGCGCCACUCCCACACGCAUCGCGCUGCUGCUCCGUGCAUCCCUCACGCUCGUCUCCUCUCUGUGACCCCCGCCCGCCGCGCGCCGACAG